GGCAGAUGUUAGCUCAGGGCUAAUCUUCCUAAAAAAAAAAAAAAAAAAAAAAAUUCCUGGCGGGUCUGCCUGCCAGACUAUUGCUAAACCCAAUCACUAUUGAGACCUCAGGCUAGCUGCAGUGUUGGCCACAAUGACAUAUGGGAUUCUCCACACUCCGCUCCAAAUAAAGACAAGCACCUCUGGUGGUCCUGGGAGGACUUCUGCACCACAGAGCUGGGGGAAGAAGUUAGGAUGGAAGCAACCCCAGGCUCAAAUAGCACAGACUCCCACUGUUUUUAUUGAAGUUCAGUACAUUUCCUUGAAUAAAUGCUUCUCACUUUGGUAUGCCUUGGUCAAUUUCCAGAGUCUUUACAUUUUUUUGGUAAGUUUGUUCAGUUUUUUCAUUGCUUUUUAGGGAGAGGAUUUGCUGAGCUCCUUCCUUGGCCAUUCUGGAAGUCCUGCUCCUUAAAUCAUACAAGUUGUACAAAUUAAUUAUACAAAUUCAUCCUACUCCCGGGCGGGGAGAAAGUGGGACCCUCCUUGGGAUAUAAAAUCCCCAAGGUAAUGUCACCUUGGCAAAAUGUCGACUUCAGCCUGGAAACUAACUGGCCCUGCAGGAGGAAGUCCUGUUCUGUAGACCAAAGUACCUGAAUUUGUGGUCCUCUGCACUUGUCUUCCUUCAAUUAUUCCUUAGCCCAGCUUUUUCAAGAGCACUCAUGGAUCAUAUAUAUGCCCUGAAAAAAAGAGCUCCAUGGCUAAAUGUUUAGUUUACCAUGAACUAAACAAAAUCAAAAUGAGUUAACAUCAGGACUUCUCAGAGCCUUUAAUAUGCUGUUUGUUGAGAUUCUCUAAGAAAGAGAAAUUAUAUGUAGUGUUUCUCAAGAUUACUGUGACACCGACCAUUUUUUCCCCCACAGAGCAUUUCAUGGGAUUAAUGAUCUGCAAAACACCCUUUGGUCUGCUUUACUUGAAGUUUUUAGCCUGGAUCAGAAACACUGAGAUGUUAAGGAAGAAGUAGCUGUUGACCACUGUGACAGCUGCAUGCAUCAGUCUUCUAGACAGGGAGCGGUGACAGUGGAAAUGAAUGGAGGGAAAUUCCUCAGGAGGUCAAUUUUGGCAGACAAUCGAGCUGAUACAGCUUCCCCUCCUCACCAGGAGCAUUUCAUUGGUGACCUUCCAAGUUUCUGGGUUCUAUUUUUAUUAAGAAGGACUUACCAUGUGCCAGACCUUAAGUGAGACUCUUUAGAAAGUAAAGAUAAAGACACAGUAUCUGCUCUCAAAGAGUACAGUUAAGGGUGGGAUAGAGAAGAUAGUUAUAAUCAAAUGUCGGGGCGGGGGGGUCUAGGUAUCCACAAGGUGCUAUGGUAAGACCAAGGGCACGGUUAACCUGGCCCGAGGGGUUAAAGACGACUUGACAGAGGCCAUGAUGCACAGCUGGUUCUUGAAGGCCAAGAAAAGGCUUAGCCAGGAAAGGAAGAGGGGAAGAGUAUGUGCAAAGGCAGAGAGGCUGGAGAAAAUGUGUACUCAGGGGACUCCAAGGAGCUCGCAUAGCUAGAAUAUGGGGUAUAAAAGAGGCCAAAUGGGUUUAAGGGGUGCAAAACACCAAGGGCCUUGUGUGGCACGCUAGGGAAUUUGCAUCUUAUUCUCAGGGUGAAGGGAGCUUAUUAAAGGCUGCUGACCCCCAGGAUCAGAUUUACGUUUUGAAAGCUCCCUCUGGCACCAGUGUAGAAAAUGGAUUGUGGAGGUAGAUCAGAAAGAAAGCUCCAGAAGGCCAGCAAGAAUGCUGAAGGCCUGAAUGAGGGCAGUAUGGAUGGAGAGGAGAGGGCAGUCGCGAGCUUGAACUGAUAGGACUGGAUGAACUACGAUGCUGGGGUGAAGGGAGAGAGGGGCAUUGGUAGACAACUCCCAGUUUUCUGACUCGAACAAUCCCAGGCAAUAGUAGCACGACACAGUAAUACCAGGAAUACAGGACAAGGGGCAGGUUUUUGGGGAGGAGAUAAUGUAUUCAGGUUUGCACUUGUUCAGUUUGAAAUUCCAAUAGCAUGUGAGAGAUGUUCAGGAGAUAGUUGGAACUCUGGACUUGAGAAAUACUGAUUUGACAGGUAUCUGAAUAAAACUUGUAUGUGAAGCCAUAGGUGUGGAUGAGAUUGGGCAGGGAGCGUGUAGCCUGAGCAGCAAGCAGAGACAAAACCCCUGGGGAACUGUACUAUCUCCCUCUUCCGAAUGCCUACAGCAUCUGUCUGUAACUCAUGGAAUUUGUCAUGAGCUGCGAUUAACAUUUAGCUCAGUGCCUAUGGUGUACAAAAAGUAGCCUGCUAGAUAUGAGGGUGCAAAGAGGAAUAAAAGAAGGUGCUUUCAUUUAAGGAGACUACGAUCUAAUUGUGGAGAAUUAUACCCCACUUUUAUGCAAAAUCAGAUGAAAUAAGAGCUAUAAAUAUGUUGAGUGUAAAAGAGGCAAUUAAUUCAAUGGAAGAGAGAACACAGGUUUCAGGAGGGGAGGAGAGAGCAUUUGAGUUGGGUUUUGCAGAAUAAGUGGAUUUUGCAAGCAGGGAAGGGGAAAGGCAAGUAAUUUGAGGCUGGAAAUUAACACACAAAGAUCACGACAGAAUGGAGUGUAGGAAGUGACAGAGAGGAGGAGGCUGGAAAGGUGGCUUGAGGCCAGGACCUAGGGAGUCCUGCUGAGGUUUCUCUGGAGUCCAUUUUCAAGGCAGCACACACGUGCCCAUGUAUAUCCAAGUGCUUGGGAUGUAGCAGGUUCAUUUCUGCCUAUUUCCUAGUUUCAGCAAUGCAUUUAAGAACAGUGAAUCAAAAUGUGGAAGGAAAUCUAAAAGUCACCAAACUAAGGCUUGAGGCUUGUAAAUGAUUUUCACAAUUCUCUAUUUCCAUUCUGCAAAACUCUGUGUUAGUGGAACUUUAAUUACUUGGCUUCAUUAUAAAAUUUCCAUUGCAUGUAAGUGUAAAUAAUUUCACUCUAAUGCUCUCAUUUGAAUUUGUGGCUGAAAGCAUUGGUAGAAAUCACAUUUUUGUGGCACUUUCUUGGCAUGGUGCAGGAAAACAAAAUGUAUACUGCUAAUCAAGUCAUGAGUGGCUUUGAAAGUGAUGGAUUAUAUAAAGAUAGUAAAUAAUAAGAGAUAAAGCAAUAUAUUUUAAAGAUUAAAAAUAUUUUAUUUAAACUUUUCUUCAUAAACACUUUUAACAUUUUUUUUUCAAUUUAAAAACAGAAUGGAUAGCAUAAACAUGUUUGAAUAGAUUAUAUUCACGGCUUGGGAAAAAUUACCUGACAAAAAUGUAAAGGCUUUCAAAACAGGUAUAAAAGGCAAACCUUAAAUUAUUCUAAGAUUUUUAAAUCGGCCCUAGGAUUAUUUGACUACUGGCCCAAAAUGUACCUAAAGGUCAAAAUAUUUUUCUAUAGACAAAGUAUGCCCAAGAGGUAUAGGGCAUAUACAAGUUAGGUAGAAAAUAACCUCUCCGAUCACCUCACUGGAACAUUCCUUCAGAAAGCAAACACCUAAUCCUUACUGAUAUACUGAUUAAUAAGAUUUUUAAUGUAGUUGUUCCC